rnacentral:rRNA from 1 species
CCUGGCGGCACUAGCGCUGUUGUCCCACCUGACCCCAUGCCGAACUCAGAAGUGAAACGCCGUAGCGCCGAUGGUAGUGUGGGGUCUCCCCAUGCGAGAGUAGGGAACUGCCAGGC